rnacentral:rRNA from 1 species
GACGAACCGUGCGAACGUUGUUCGGAAUCACUGGGCUUAAAGGGCGCGUAGGCGGGCUGCCAAGUCCGUGGUGAAAUCCCCCGGCUCAACCGGGGAACGGCCUCGGAUACUGGCGGCCUGGAGGGGGGUAGGGGCGUGCGGAACUGUGGGUGGAGCGGUGAAAUGCGUUGAGAUCCACAGGAACUCCGGUGGCGAAGGCGGCACGCUGGACCCUUUCUGACGCUGAGGCGCGAAAGCCAGGGGAGCGAACGGG